rnacentral:rRNA from 1 species
UACGGGGGGAGCAAGCGUUGUUCGGAAUUACUGGGCGUAAAGGGCGCGUAGGCGGUCCGCUAAGUUGAAUGUGAAAACUCUGGGCUUAACCCAGAGCCUGCAUUCAAUACUGGCGGGCUAGAGUUCUGGAGGGGAUAGCGGAAUUCCUGGUGUAGCGGUGAAAUGCGUAGAUAUCAGGAGGAACACCGGUGGCGAAGGCGGCUAUCUGGACAGAGUCUGACGCUGAGGCGCGAAAGCUAGGGGAGCAAACAGG